GGCAACAUAUUUUUUUUGGAAUAAUUUGCUAAAUGAAUAUGUUAAAUUGCAGCAUGCAUUUACUUGUUUAAUAUAUAUGUAAUUAAUCCUUUGAAUAAUAUGUUUAGCUAAUAUUUUUUAAAAUCUUGGCACAUAAAAAAUAAUAAGAAAUCUCUCGAAAUUCGUAUCAUUGCAAAUAUUUAGAAGCUUCGCUCUACUCAAGUAAAACUUAACGUUAUCGUAGCUUUCACAGUUAUAUUUGUUUUUAGGCGACUGGUAAAAGAAACUACGAGCAUACAAUUGUGCAAUUGCCGAGAUCACAUUUUUUGGUACCACAGCGGCAGUUUUGCCAAGAAAGUCCAGUUAGCAGAUUGCUUAUUAUGACUCCAAAACUUUAUUAAUUUCAACGGGAUUCAUCCCACACCUGAAGGUAUGUUUUUUGAGUAUUUACUUAAAGUUCUAGGACAAAAUAUGUGAUAAAUGGUUAUUUUAUUAGGUUUUUUAUGACACGUAUCAGGUUACAACAAUCCGUUUAUUUCAAUGUAAAAUGUAUCGUACGUUGAUAUUGUAAAGUUAGAGCCGUAGAGGUUCACGCAGUGGACAUUGAAAGUGAAAGUGAUUUGUUUCAAACUUUUGGGCUGAAAAGAGUAGUGAUGAAAGCCAAAGAUUAUUAUUAACUUGAGCUAAACAUUUGAAGGUUCAAACAUUUAGAAAUGAGUUUUUAUGCAUUCUUUACUGGAAAAAGGGAACUAUAUUUUUGGUUGAGCUUCCAUAGUGAAAGCUUUACGCACAAUGUCCACCGCGGAGUGAUAUUCUUCCUUGAAAUUUAGUGUGAUACGCCUCCGUAUAGACUUCAAUUCUAGGCGCUUUAUACAAAUUUGUUAUAGAUGCAAUUAUGCAUUAUUUAAACACAUAGAUUUACAUUUGGCUAAAAGAAAUAGAAAAGAAGCAAAUUGAUCAUUUCUUUUAUCUUAUCAGUUUAUCAGCCAAACCAUAUUGUUUUAAAGAUGCAUCUUUAGCAUGUAAACAAAUGCAAGUUUUAAAUAUACUAAAUUUGCAGUUUGGAAGUAGGUGGAGUAUUGUUAGAAAUACAUUUAAAAGUGGUAUAAGAGAAAUUGAGUAUUAACAUAAUUUCAUUGUAUUCACUCUAUUUGGAUUCAUUGUAUUCACUCUUUUUGGAGAAGCUUAAAGAGAUAAAUAUGAAAUGUUCACAACAAUAAGAAUGAAAAUGGAACUUAUUGUUAUUUACAACAAAGUAAAUGGAUUUAUUGAGCAUACAUGCUUACACAGUUAAUACUCCACAAGAGUAACUCAGUGUAACACUUCACAGGAGCAUUUUUCUUAUGAAUGCUUUCUUGUUUUGUUUACUUGUUACAGGGUUAAUCAACUCAGUUGUUGAAUGGUGCUUGAAAGUGAAACUACAAGAGAUUAAAGAAGGCAACAUGAAUCUCAUUAUACGCCUGUUCUAUAUAAGGUCUCUUCAUUGCAACAACGAGAAUUUGAGAUGUGGAAGUAUGGUGAUUGAGUGACUGAGUCCAUAACAAUCUUCAACAACUGACUCAAAUUGGACUCUGAGAACAACCUACCUCCAUCUUACACUAGAUUUAGUCAGCAUAAGGACUUGGAAGUUUCCUGAAUCUACCAUGGCCGACAUAAGCCAACUGAAGUUAUUGAGACGGAAUACUAAAGGAGCUUUAACUCGCACCUUAAACUCCAUUGAGAGGUUGCUAGUAGACCCUGCAAAUGACGCUGAAACCAUAAAAGAAUACAUAGCCAAAGCAGGGGAACAGUUCAAAGAAGUGGAAUGUAAACACACCAAGUUGGUAGAGAACAUAACAGAUGAAGCAAUAUACGAAGAAGAAGAAGAAUGGAUGGGAGAGUGUGAACAGAGGUUUGUGGAGACCAUCGUUCAUGCACGGAAGUUCAUCGGGUCUCUGAACCAAAGUGAGCCAAUUACUCUCAAGUCUGAAACGCAGCCAACACCCACGCCUUCAUCUGUCACACAAGGUGCAUCCCCACCAGCAGUGGGAGCUGCAUCUAUUCCUACAUCCCAACCUACCAACCCAGCAGCAACGACCAAUUCGGUUUCUCCUAGUCCAACAUCUGGUCUGUCAGCUGGUACUCCAAAAAUGCAAAAGAUGAAAUUUCCUACAUUUAAUGGGGACAUUAAAGAGUAUCAACGUUUCUGUACUUUGUUCAAACAUUGUGCCACAGAUCUAACAGAAAUAGAGUGUUUUUACCAGCUUACUCAAUCCAUGAUCAAUGCACGUGAGCGCAACAUGAUAAAGGGUUGCAUCAACGUACAGAGAGCCUGGCAAGUUCUAGAUGAGAAGUACGGCGACCAGGAUAGAGUUGUGGACAAUCUGCUUCAGGAAUUGGAGAACUUGAAGCCUUAUCAAACCAAAGGUAAAGUUAGUCUGAGCGCCAUGACUGUAUUUGUCCAGACAUUGCAGGUGUUUGAAAUGCAAGCAGAAACAAUUGGCCUUUCUGGAGAGCUGAAUAGUAAAAUCUUACUUAGUCAAAUCAAGCAAAAGAUGCCUGAGGAACAUCGCAUUGCCUACUACAAGAGUGUCAGAGAUGAACACAACAGUGACACGCUUGGAGGUCUGGUUAAAUGGCUACAUAGUCAGCUUCUACUACAAGAGAAGGCCAAGUCACCUUUUCCGGAGAAACUUAGUUCUUCUGAGACGAUGCAGAAUAAAAGUACCAAAUCAUCAAACGCUGCAACUUGGAACCAACCUAAACAGCAGAAUCGUUUCAAAGAACAGAAAGGCCCCAAGGUACCCAAGUGCGCUCUUCAUACAAACUCAAAUACACAUUUUCUGAAAACGUGUAUGAAAUUCAGGAAUCUGAGCCUCCAGGAAAAAUAUGACAUUAUGAAAAAACACAACAUUUGUAAUCGUUGUGGUCAUAACAAUUGUCAAGCUGGGAAGCCUCCUUUCGAUCUGAAGUCCUGCCAGUUUCCUUCACCAUGCACUAUCCAGACGUGUGGCAGUGAUGCCCAUUUCUCUGCCAUUUGUCCUGUAGUAUAUGGGAGUAAUACUGCUUCGGUGAAUCCACCCCGGGUUCAUCCACCAGACCAGAUGAAUGCCAAUGCAAGGUCAUUUCGUCCAGCAUCUGUAACUACCGUAACGGGAAAGGAACUCCAUGGUAUUCUCCCAACAGUUAUGGGCUAUCUUCGAAUAGGGAACCUUCGCCAAUUGGUACGCAUAUUACUUGAUGGUGGAAGCCAAGCUUCACUUGUUAGAGAAGGGAUCUUCCCAAGGACGGAACAUGACAGAUAUCAAGAGCAUGAAUUAACACUAGUUGGGGGAAACACCAUCUCACGGAGACUGAAACUCAUUGAUUGUCAAAUAGAGGACAUGAAAGGGAAGCACUCUUACCCACUGACAUUAACAGAGAUUGAUAAGCCAUGUGGAAACGCUCAAGUCAUUCAAGCAGAUAUUAUACAGCAGUAUGCCCACUUGAGUGAAAUUGAGGUCAACACUGCUCCUUCGACAACUAUCGAUGUUCUUCUCGGUGUUGACAAUACGUACCUGAUGAUCUGGGAAGAGUUCAUCAGGGGCCCGAGAUGUGAUGAUCCAGUUGCAGUCAGAUGUCCAUUGGGAUGGUAUAUCCAAGGAGGACGUUCGUGCGGUACUACCCCACUCCUCAACUACCUCAAUGUAUCUGCCAUCGGUCCAAUUGAAGAGUUUAUUGGGUUAGAGACUAUGGGUCUGGAACCAAAAAGAUGUAAAUGUUCAACAGACCUUCUGGACAGAAAUGCCACAGAGGUCAUGCAGCAAAGUGUGUCUCAACUCCCAAAUGGUUCCUAUGAGAUCGCACUUCCAUGGAAGAAACCCCCUGAGAGUUUACCAGACAAUUAUGAGUAUGCCGUGAAAAGACAAAAACACCUCGAGAAGCAGUUUGCUGACAGGCCUGCUGAAUGGGAGGUGUAUUGCAAGCAGAUGAGAGAUCAGGUUAAGAGGGGCGUUUCCAGACACGUGACAGACGAAGAGAUGAGACAAGACCGGGCUACAGGAAAGAAAAUGUGGUUUCUUCCACAUUUCGCAGUCACCAAGGACUCAACUACCACUCCUGUGCGAGUAGUGUAUGAUGGAAAGUCACGAUUCCAAGGUCAUGCACUAAAUGACUAUUUGAUGAAAGGAGAGAAUGUUAAUUCAAACCUGUUUGAAGUCGCCUUGCGCUUCAGAGAGAAUGAGGUUGGAGUUAUUGCUGAUAUAAGCAAGAUGUACCAAGCCAUCAAAAUCAAACCAGAUGAUGCCAGAUUUCAUCGUUACGUCUUCAGAGAGAGCCCAAGUCACCCGUUACAGGUUUUCGAGCUCAGCACUGUGACUUUUGGGGACAAACCCUCACCAACAGCUGCCAUCCUCACACUGCGACAUGUCGUCGAGGAACAUGCUCCAAGAGAUGAAGGACUGAAAGAUGUAGUUGUCCACCAGUUCUACAUGGACGAUCUGAACGAAUCUGUUUCUGAUGUGCAGCAAGCUCUUGAACUCAAAUCGAAGCUCACAAAGACCCUAGAGAAGGGAAAGUUCAAUCUACGUAAGUGGCAGUCAAACAAACGAGAGGUUUGUGAUGAGACCGAGGAUAUGAAGUCUGCAACAGUGCUUGGGACCAAAUGGAAUUUGGAGAAAGACACGCUGAGCGUCAAAGAGGUGAAACCAAUCAAGGGUAUACCUACGAAGCGCAGCAUUCUGAAACAGACGGCAUCAUACUACGAUGUCUUCGGAGUUUUGUCUGGAAUAUUGGUGAGGCCAAAGAUCCUCCUGCAAAAACUAUGGCAACUCAAUUUGGAUUGGGAUACGCCUAUUGACUCCCAAAAAGAACUCUGUGCAACACUGGAUGCCAUAAACAAGGACCUGGAGGAAGUAGUGGAUGUUGAGAUACCGAGAUGCCUAAUUCCAGAGGAGUUUAAAGGAACGAGACCCUUGCCUGAGGUGUCACUACAUGGACUAAGUGAUGCAUCUGAAGACGCGAUGGGCAUGGGAGUGUGGCUCAGGUGGUCCCAUCUGGAAGGAACAGGGGCAGAGUUGUCCUUUGUGUGUGCGAGAGCAAGGCUUACACCGCUGAAGCAAUCGAGCAUGCCCAGGAAAGAGCUGCAAGCAAUUCUUUUGCUGUCGAGACUGAUGUGCACGAUCAGAGAUGCCCUCCGUAUCAACAUAGCAUACUGGAAAAUAUGGACUGACAGUAUGACUGCCAUCAGCUGGUUGAGGGGUCAGUCCAAAUCCUUCCGUGCCUAUGUCGCCUACAGGGUAGGCGAAAUCACCACUAGAUUUGAUCCUAUCUCUGAUGUCGCCUAUGUACCAUCUGCCCAGAAUGCAAUUGACCUGGUGUCUAGAGGAGGUACUGCAAGUGAGAUGAAGCGAGUUAUAGAUGGUCCAGAGUUCUUAAAACUUUCUCCAUCAAUGUGGCCAAAGACACCCGAGAAUAUCCCUACAGAUCCAAAAGACAAAGAAAAGAAAAAGUUCCAUGUACGGAAUGCGAAGACAUAUGCACUAGGUGUCAAGAUGGAGGACAAAACGAAACCAAUCUUGGAUGCUACAAAGUACUCCAACUGGACAAAGCUCAAGAUGGUCACCGCAAGAGUAUUGUCUGUGAGAGAACUGCCAAAAAGCCAGUGGUUGAAGCAACUCAUGAUCCAGAUUGCACAGUGGCCAUCUCACAAAUUCAUACGAGAAGCAGAGCGGUACUGGAUUCGUCAGGCUCAGAAAGAUAUCAACUUUCAUGACCCUAACAUUCUGAAACUCGACCCAUUCCUUGAUGAAGACGGUGUCUAUCGUGUUGGUGGACGUUUGGACAGAGCACCGUUGUCGUAUGACCUGCGUCAUCCAUACCUUCUCCCGAAGAAGUGCCAUAUCAGUUACCUUCUUGUGCGAGAUAGUCACGUACACGCCGUCCAUGGAGGUUACCUGAGAACAGCUACUGAAGUCCGUAAGAAGUUCUGGAUUAUCGGUGACAUAUCUCUAGCACGACAUGUUGUCCGUAACUGUGUGACAUGCAAGAGGUACAAGGGAAAACCAGUCCAACAAAGAAUGGCUGAUUUGCCAUCGUUUCGAGUAACUCCUUGUGCACCGCCAUUCAAAACUACACUAGUGGAUUAUCUGGGCCCAAUCAACGUGAAACUAAACAGGAAUACCACAACGAAGGGGUACUGUGCACUGUUUACUUGUGCAGUCACCAGGGCCGUCCACCUAACUGUGGUGCAGGACCUUUCUACACAGUCAUUUCUCCAGGCGUUAGAAAGGUUUGUGAGCAUUAGAGGGGCUCCAGCUACAAUGAUCAGUGACAAUGCAACUUGCUUCCGUGGAGCAGACAACAAAAUCAACGAGCUGAACUUGAAGCUUGAUAAGAAACAAAUCAGAGAGCUUGGUCUGCGCUACCAGGUGGAAUGGAAAUUCGGACCACCAGGGGGACCUCAUCAUCAGGGAGCCGUUGAACGCAUGGUGCAAGAGGUGAAAAAAGCGAUGAGGCACCUUGUGAAAGCUGAUAAGCUAACCUUCGUUGAGUGGGAGACAGUGUUCUGCCAGAUUUCGGGACUUAUCAAUAGUCGCCCACUUACUGCGAUGUCGGCGUCACCACUUGAUCAGCCACCUCUAACACCUAACCAUUUCCUCAUUGGUCGGGGAGAUCUGAGCUGCCCUGACAUCCCUUGUGAGGAGUACAGGGGAGACCUGCGGAAGCGUCGCGAACUAUGCAAGACGAUGGUGGAUGGGUUCUGGCGCAGAUGGAUGGACUGCAUUCACAAACUGUCACCACGCAACAAGUGGCAAAGGUCAACAGAGAAUCUUGAAGAAGGAGAUAUAGUUCUCGUCAUUGGGGAUAGUAAGGCUCGUGGAUCGUGGAAGAUGGCAGAGGUCGUGAAAUGCUAUCCGGGGCAAGAUGAUCUCGUGAGAAUCGUAGAUGUUAAGUCCACUGAUCGUACAAUCGCGAAAAAGCCGGUGACAAAACUUGUGUCUCUAAUGAAAAGGUCAGAGCGAGAUGAUUUAGGUGACUAAAACUAGUGACAUUCCAAACAUUUCUGAUUAUAAAUCUUGUUUUCGAUAAAGGUCUGGACAAUCGCUCACUUUUGUAUUUUCAACAACAGUAUUAUGCGGUGACAUUUUUAUCAUCUUCAAUGGACAUUUCAAAUAGAAGAUUACAACAUUGAAAGACUGUUUAAUCGAUCAGGAGAUUGUGUUAGACUUCGUUUUGAACUUUACGGACAAGUAUUGUAUUGAGAAACAUUAUUUUUUGACGUCCCGUCGCUUUUGGGGGGUCGGAAUGUCAUGGCAACAUAUUUUUUUUGGAAUAAUUUGCUAAAUGAAUAUGUUAAAUUGCAGCAUGCAUUUACUUGUUUAAUAUAUAUGUAAUUAAUCCUUUGAAUAAUAUGUUUAGCUAAUAUUUUUUAAAAUCUUGGCACAUAAAAAAUAAUAAGAAAUCUCUCGAAAUUCGUAUCAUUGCAAAUAUUUAGAAGCUUCGCUCUACUCAAGUAAAACUUAACGUUAUCGUAGCUUUCACAGUUAUAUUUGUUUUUAGGCGACUGGUAAAAGAAACUACGAGCAUACAAUUGUGCAAUUGCCGAGAUCACAUUUUUUGGUACCACAGCGGCAGUUUUGCCAAGAAAGUCCAGUUAGCAGAUUGCUUAUUAUGACUCCAAAACUUUAUUAAUUUCAACGGGAUUCAUCCCACACCUGAAGGGUUAAUCAACUCAGUUGUUGAAUGGUGCUUGAAAGUGAAACUACAAGAGAUUAAAGAAGGCAACAUGAAUCUCAUUAUACGCCUGUUCUAUAUAAGGUCUCUUCAUUGCAACAACGAGAAUUUGAGAUGUGGAAGUAUGGUGAUUGAGUGACUGAGUCCAUAACA